GAACGCUGGCGGCGUGCUUAACACAUGCAAGUCGAACGAUGAACCACUUCGGUGGGGAUUAGUGGCGAACGGGUGAGUAACACGUGGGCAAUCUGCCCUUCACUCUGGGACAAGCCCUGGAAACGGGGUCUAAUACCGGAUAACACUGCGGAUCUCAUGGUCUGCGGUUAAAAGCUCCGGCGGUGAAGGAUGAGCCCGCGGCCUAUCAGCUUGUUGGUGAGGUAAUGGCUCACCAAGGCGACGACGGGUAGCCGGCCUGAGAGGGCGACCGGCCACACUGGGACUGAGACACGGCCCAGACUCCUACGGGAGGCAGCAGUGGGGAAUAUUGCACAAUGGGCGAAAGCCUGAUGCAGCGACGCCGCGUGAGGGAUGACGGCCUUCGGGUUGUAAACCUCUUUCAGCAGGGAAGAAGCGAAAGUGACGGUACCUGCAGAAGAAGCGCCGGCUAACUACGUGCCAGCAGCCGCGGUAAUACGUAGGGCGCAAGCGUUGUCCGGAAUUAUUGGGCGUAAAGAGCUCGUAGGCGG
rnacentral:rRNA from 1 species